UGGGGAAUAUUGCACAAUGGGCGCAAGCCUGAUGCAGCAACGCCGCGUGAGGGAUGACGGCCUUCGGGUUGUAAAACCUCUUUUAGUAGGGAAGAAGCGAAAGUGACGGUACCUGCAGAAAAAGCACCGGCUAACUACGUGCCAGCAGCCGCGGUAAUACGUAGGGUGCGAGCGUUGUCCGGAAUUAUUGGGCGUAAAGAGCUCGUAGGCGGUCUGUCGCGUCUGCUGUGAAAACCCGAGGCUCAACCUCGGGCCUGCAGUGGGUACGGGCAGACUAGAGUGCGGUAGGGGAGAAUGGAAUUCCUGGUGUAGCGGUGGAAUGCGCAGAUAUCAGGAGGAACACCGAUGGCGAAGGCAGUUCUCUGGGCCGUAACUGACACUGAGGAGCGAAAGCGUGGGGAGCGAACAGGAUUAGAUACCCUGGUAGUCCACGCCGUAAACGUUGGGCGCUAGAUGUGGGGACCAUUCCACGGUUUCCGUGUCGCAGCUAACGCAUUAAGCGCCCCGCCUGGGGAGUACGGCCGCAAGGCUAAAACUCAAAGGAAUUGACGGGGUCAUAGCUG
rnacentral:rRNA from 1 species